rnacentral:misc_RNA from 1 species
GAAAUGCGAUAAGUAAUGUGAAUUGCAGAAUUCAGUGAAUCAUCGAAUCUUUGAACGCACCUUGCGCUCCUUGGUAUUCCGAGGAGCAUGCCUGUUUGAGUGUCAUGAAAACCCUCAACCCUAGAUUGGUUAAUACCUUUCUUUGGUUUGGAUUUGGACGUUUGCCGAUGAUAAGUCGGCUCGUCUUAAAAGUAAUAGCUGGAUCUGUCUCGCGACAUGGUUUGACUUGGCGUAAUAAGUAUUUCGCUAAGGACAUCUUCGGAUGGCCGCGUUGCAGGACUAAAGACCGCUUUCUAAUCCAUUGAUCUUCUGAUUAAUACUCUUGACAUCUGGCCUCAAAUCAGGUAGGACUACCCGCUGAACUUAAGC